GCCUAGGCUAGAAGACCAGUGAUAACAUGCUAGUAUUAGAGGAAGGGCCAAGCUGAUUUAUCAGAAGGAGCAAACAACCAGAUAUCAUGGCUUUAUGUAAAGAAACCUCAUCGCAUCAUUCAAACGCCAUUGCCUCGAGGCCAAUAGAGAUGCAAUACCCGAUCAUCGAGGUCCCUACCAACACCCAAUGCCAAUUCAACAACCAGAAGCACCACC
rnacentral:lncRNA from 1 species